rnacentral:lncRNA from 1 species
GAUGAAACUCUUGCAAGUCAGGUUCUUGGAACAUUCUUAUCUAAGGAUUGCAUGUGCUGAGGAUGAGAAAGCAGAUCUGCCCAGUGGGCUUUGGAAGGCGCUGGCUGAGGGGAGGGGAGAUGACCUGGUAGACUGGAAGCCAGAGGACCUUCUGCAUUCUUUAUCUGCUUCUUUUGGAACUGUCAGAACUUAGCAGGACCCAGGGGCCCCCAGCUUAUUUUUGGGAAGUGCUUCAAGUCCUCUGCCAGUGUGCACAGGCAAGAGAAGAGCUUACUGUCCAGUGAAAGCUGCAAGCUUCCCCAGAGGGAGCCCAAGAGGACUGCAGCACAGUGGUUAAGAAGGACCACCUGUCAGGUCUGAGGCCAAGGUUCCUGCACUCUAGCAGAGGACUUCCUCCCCAGCCCUUCAGCCACCAAGAAACACGGACUUCUCCAACUCCCUUGAGCAGUGAAGCACCUUCACUGCCCUCUACCUCAGCAGAGACAGGGGGCCUCAAGCCUGUCCCCAGCCUUAGCACACUCUGUGUAUCCCCAGCACCCAGCCCAUGGCUCAGCCCACAGUGGACACUCAACGAGCUGCUGCUGAAUGAAUGAAGGCAUCUAUCGUCUCCUUCCUGCUUUGCCCAACAAUAAGGUUUCCCAGGAUAACUCGAAAGGCAAUUCCCCUUUUCAUCUGCUAAGCCAUCUGAGGAAGUACAGAAUCUACUGGACACUCAAGAGGAGAGGCAGUCUAGAAGACGCCUCCAGGGCUUGUUUCUCUGGAGACUUUUAUGUAGAACAAGUGCUGCCCCUACAAGUUCCUCCACGGGCUCACAAGGAACCUAACUUCGAGGGACCUCGUUCAGUUCAUGGUGGUUCAGUUCAUCCACGUUCAGGUCUGCAUUCAUGGCUACAGUCCAAUAUUGGAUGAUCCUAGUGGUAUCUCUGAGCGGCCCAGAAUGGAUAAAAUUGUGCUGUGUGAUCUGUAUGCCUUGGACAAAUUCCUGAUCUCCCUGUGUAUGUUUCCUCAUCUACAAAAUGGUGAGAAUAUUUGUACCUACUUCACAGGGUUGUGAGGAUUAAAUGAAUUAACACAGGGAAAACACUUCAA